AGAGUUUGAUCCUGGCUCAGAAUGAACGCUGGCGGCGUGCUUAACACAUGCAAGUCGUACGAGAAACCUUCUGCUUGCAGAAGAGAGUAAAGUGGCGCACGGGUGAGUAACGCGUGGGCAAUCUACCCUUGAAUUUGGAAUAACUUCGCGAAAGUGGAGCUAAUACCAGAUAAUGUUAUUUGGUCUUCGGCCCAUUUAACCAAAGGUGGCCUCUCCUUGGAAGCUACCGUUUAAGGAUGAGCCCGCGUACCAUUAGCUUGUUGGUGAGGUAACGGCUCACCAAGGCGACGAUGGUUAGCUGGUCUGAGAGGAUGAUCAGCCACACUGGAACUGACACACGGUCCAGACUCCUACGGGAGGCAGCAGUGAGGAAUUUUGCGCAAUGGGGGAAACCCUGACGCAGCAACGCCGCGUGAGUGACGAAGGCCUUCGGGUCGUAAAGCUCUGUCAAGUGGGAAGAACCCGCAUAUGGCUAAUACACAUAUGCUCUGACGGUACCACUGAAGGAAGCACCGGCUAACUCCGUGCCAGCAGCCGCGGUAAUACGGAGGGUGCAAGCGUUAUUCGGAUUUACUGGGCGUAAAGCGCGCGUAGGCGGAUCAGAAAGUUGGGGGUGAAAUCCCAGGGCUCAACCCUGGAACGGCCUCCAAAACUCCUGGUCUUGAGUUCGAGAGAGGUGAGUGGGAAUUCCGAGUGUAGAGGUGAAAUUCGUAGAUAUUCGGAGGGAACACCAGUGGCGAAGGCGGCUCACUGGCUCGAUACUGACGCUGAGGGUGCGAAAGUGUGGGGAGCAAAACAGGGAUUUAGAUACCCUGGUAGUCC
rnacentral:rRNA from 1 species